GGGGUCGGGACAAGGGAGGAAGGUGGGCCGUGGACGGGAAGGGGUCAGAUGGAGACGGGGUGAGUCUUGGGGGCGAUACUGGAGGUAUCUGGGUCCUGGGGGCACCAGGAACUGCCGACACAGGACAGACUCGAGAGUCCUCACGGGGGCCCGGGUGAGGGUCGGAGAACCCAGCCGGCCGGGCACAGGCGCACGCAACGCGCAUGCCCGGUGCCGCGCUUUCCCAGCAGCCCUCAGGGUCCGGGGUGCAUAACGUUCCAGGCGCCGGGCUGUGCGGGUUUGUCUUGCAGUCGUGCUUCUUUUCCUCUUGGCUGAGGCUCAGUCGGGUGAAAUAUGAGUGCACAAGUAAGAUCAAGAUCUCGAGAAAGGGGAAAUGGUCAAGAGUCUUCCAAUCUGGUUGAACCUGUGCUUGCCCAGCAAGCAGGUGACAAAAAUUCUCAACAAGAGAAACCACCAGCUGAGAAUCCAGAUAUUGAACUUGGACAGGAGAGAGAAGAAGGAGGAGCACCUGCAGUUCAAGAUGGUGGACAAAUAACAAGUUAAAAAGAAGACAAGCUGAAGCCACACAUGCUGUUAGUUAUAUUGAUAAUUUGACAUGUUAAAUUCUUUCAAUAAGGUUUUACAGUUUUCUCAGAAGUCAUACACAUCUUUUGUUAAGUCUGUUCCUAGCUUGAUACUAUUGUAAAUGGUUAUCUUAAAAAACUCUUCAUGUUCUGUUUAGAGCUGGAGGGAAGGGUCAGGUCGAGGGGUGAUGUCAGCUGCUAACCAAGGAGAACUCUGCUAGGGUAAAAUCAGGCAGCAAAGCCCCACAAGCUGGGCAGUAGGUACUGGGCCAAGGUCAGCCAUCCCCAGGACUCGGGGACCAGACUCUUCCUAGAACACACUCCCUCAUCCUCGAGCACUGGCUGGCCUCUACUUCUGAGCCAGGUCCUGAAGCCUGCCCUGGGCAGCACUCCCUCCCGGGGACCAGCACUUGGGGCUACUUCCCGACAUGCCCCAGUGUGCCCAAGACCCGAGCCACUUGUUCUGGGCUCCCUCCUCUUGGGCUCCGUGGUGCGGCUGCCCACUGCCAGCAGCUCUCAGCACAGGGGCUUCCAGAGGUCCUCAGACCCACGCCCGCCCGUUCCCUCCACUGGCAGCCCCACGACCGAAGCUGCUUCCCUCCCAGUCCCACCUGCCGCCCGACCCGGGCCUCUGCUAGGGCUUCAGGGGCUUGAGGCGGUGUCCU
ensembl:lncRNA